GUGCUUGUUUUACCAGCACAUAUACUAAAAUUGGAACGAUACAGAGAAGAUUAGCAUGGCCCCUGUGCAAGGAUAAUAUGCAAAUUCGUGAAGCACUACAUAUUUUU
rnacentral:snRNA from 1 species